GAUGAACGCUGGCGGCGUGCUUAACACAUGCAAGUCGAACGGGAAACCUUUUAUUGCAGCUUCGGCAGAUUUAGCUGGUUUCUAGUGGCGGACGGGUGAGUAACGCGUGGGUAACCUGCCUUAUACAGGGGGAUAACAGUCAGAAAUGGCUGCUAAUACCGCAUAAGCGCACAGAGCUGCAUGGCUCAGUGUGAAAAACUCCGGUGGUAUAAGAUGGACCCGCGUUGGAUUAGCUGGUUGGUGGGGUAACGGCCCACCAAGGCGACGAUCCAUAGCCGGCCUGAGAGGGUGAACGGCCACAUUGGGACUGAGACACGGCCCAGACUCCUACGGGAGGCAGCAGUGGGGAAUAUUGCACAAUGGGGGAAACCCUGAUGCAGCGACGCCGCGUGAAGGAAGAAGUAUCUCGGUAUGUAAACUUCUAUCAGCAGGGAAGAUAAUGACGGUACCUGACGAAGAAGCCCCGGCUAACUACGUG
rnacentral:rRNA from 1 species